AGCUCCAAUAGCGUAUAUUAAAGUUGUUGCAGUUAAAAAGCUCGUAGUUGGAUUUCUGUCAAAAACAAGUGGCCCGCUUUCUAAAAGUGUUGUGCUUUACGUCGUUUUUGGCAUACUCCUAUUUUUUUAGUUCGAUUAGUUUCGAAUUAGAGGGGUGGGACUUUUACUUUAAGAAAAUUAGAGUGUUCUAAGCAGGCUUUCGCCUUGAAUACUGCAGCAUGGAAUAAUAAUAUAGGAUUUCAGUUCUAUUUUAUUGGUUCUAAGGAUUGGAAUAAUGAUUAAUAGGGACAGUUGGGGGCAUUCGUAUUUAACUGUCAGAGGUGAAAUUCUUAGAUUUGUUAAAGACGAACUACUGCGAAAGCAUUUGCCAAGGAUGUUUUCAUUAAUCAAGAACGAAAGU
rnacentral:rRNA from 1 species